rnacentral:rRNA from 1 species
GACGAACGCUGGCGGCGUGCUUAACACAUGCAAGUCGAACGGAAAGGUCCUGCUUUUGUGGGGUGCUCGAGUGGCGAACGGGUGAGUAACACGUGAGUAACCUGCCCUUGACUUUGGGAUAACUUCAGGAAACUGGGGCUAAUACCGGAUAGGAGCUCCUGCUGCAUGGUGGGGGUUGGAAAGUUUCGGCGGUUGGGGAUGGACUCGCGGCUUAUCAGCUUGUUGGUGGGGUAGUGGCUUACCAAGGCUUUGACGGGUAGCCGGCCUGAGAGGGUGACCGGCCACAUUGGGACUGAGAUACGGCCCAGACUCCUACGGGAGGCAGCAGUGGGGAAUAUUGCACAAUGGGCGGAAGCCUGAUGCAGCAACGCCGCGUGCGGGAUGACGGCCUUCAGGUUGUAAACCGCUUUCGCCUGUGACGAAGCGUGAGUGACGGUAAUGGGUAAAGAAGCACCGGCUAACUACGUG